CCUACGGGAGGCUGCAGUGGGGAAUCUUGCACAAUGGGCGAAAGCCUGAUGCAGCAACGCCGCGUGAGCGAAGAAGGCCUUUGGGUCGUAAAGCUCUGUCCUAGGGGAAGAAAAAAAUGACGGUACCCGAGGAGGAAGCCCCGGCUAACUACGUGCCAGCAGCCGCGGUAAUACGUAGGGGGCGAGCGUUAUCCGGAAUUAUUGGGCGUAAAGAGUGCGUAGGUGGCUUUGUAAGCGCGGGGUGAAAGGCAGUGGCUUAACCAUUGUUAGCCCUGCGAACUGUGAGGCUUGAGUACAGGAGGGGGAAGCGGAAUUCCUGGUGUAGCGGUGAAAUGCGUAGAUAUCAGGAAGAACACCGGUGGCGAAGGCGGCUUUCUGGACUGUAACUGACACUGAGGCACGAAAGCGUGGGGAGCAAACAGGAUUAGAUACCCGGGUAGUC
rnacentral:rRNA from 1 species